rnacentral:rRNA from 1 species
UACGAAGGUGGCAAGCGUUACUCGGAAUUACUAGGCGUAAAGGGCAGGUAGGUGGUUUGAUAAGUCUGUUGUGAAAGCUCCCGGCCCAACUGGGAGAGGUCAACAGAAACUAUCAGGCUUGAGUAUGGGAGAGGGUACUGGAAUUCCUGGUGUAGCGGUGAAAUGCGCAGAUAUCAGGAGGAACACCGAUGGCGAAAGCAGGUACCUGGACCAUUACUGACACUCAGCUGCGAAAGCUAGGGGAGCAAACAGG